UAAUACGAGAGGCCCAAACGUUAUUCGGAAUUACUGGGCUUAAAGAGUCCGUAGGCGGCGCGGAAAGUGGGGUGUGAAAGCCCUCGGCUCAACCGAGGAAUUGCGCUCCAAACUACCGUGCUUGAGGAACCUAGAGGUGAGCAGAACUGAUGGUGGAGCGGUGAAAUGCGUUGAUAUCAUCAGGAAUACCGGAGGCGAAGGCGGCUCACUGGGGGUUUUCUGACGCUGAGGGACGAAAGCCAGGGUAGCGAACGGGAUUAGAUACCCCGGUAGUCCUGGCCGUAAACGAUGAGCACUAGGCCGGAGGGCUGCACAGCUUUCCGGCCGUAGCUAAAGUGUUAAGUGCUCCGCCUGGGGAGUAUGGUCGCAAGGCUG
rnacentral:rRNA from 1 species